GCGGGAAUAGCUCAGUUGGUAGAGCACAACCUUGCCAAGGUUGGGGUCGCGGGUUCAAGUCCCGUUUCCCGCU
rfam:Desulfurella acetivorans A63, complete genome.